UGAACUGAAAAGAGACAAUUCACUUGUGCAGCAUCCCGGAGGAGAGAUGCUCCUGAGCUGCAGCUGCCGCUCACUGAGGUAGAUGCUGAACCAGGCACAGGAUACAUGUGCCUGCACUAUGCCAAGCUGUAAUUCAGACGCAGUUCUGUGUGUAGCAAUGACUUCUUAGGACUGGGAAUGCAAGAAUAUAGUCCUGAUACUUUCACUCCCUGGACCCAGGUUUGGCUCUAAUAGUAACAGAAGCAAUAAGUGAGCUAUUAGAAUCAUAAAUGAAUUCGUAUGUAAAAGUGCCCUUUCCUAAGGCGCUUUGUUUGAUGACAAUGAUAAUACCGCUUUAUGUUAUGAUGAGAAUACUUUGCAUUUCUUUGGCAUCUUUCAUCACAGGAUUUCAAAGCGCUUUACAAACGUAAUGAAUCAUGCCUCACGACACCCUAUAAAUAAGACAAAUGAUAGGUUUUCAACUAUGUAUUUUCAAGGACUUUGAUUACAAUACAAUAUUUUGAUGACCAAUGAGGCUUACAUGUUAAUUCCAUCCAGAAUAUUUAUCAACUGAGCCUGUGACUUUCAGAGUAUCAGAAGAUGGAUAUUGUGUCCUCUUAUGCCAGAUGAGAUAUUAAUUUGAAUGAAAUGAAAAUCAUCCUUUGCCUCAAGAGUUACAGAUGAGAUUGUUGUGCUCAUCUCACUGAUGCUUUUGGAGUAUGCUGCAAAUCACAGUUACAAAGAUCUGAGAGAGCAAGGCUCCAGACAAAAAUGAAUUCUUCCAUUAGAUUCUACAGGAAGAGUGUUUAAUGAAUGAAGGAAAGCAAGAUGAAGCUUCAUCACUGAAAUCAAUAUUCAGACAUGAAAGUGCUGUGUAUUAGUCUUGUACCCAGGAAAAAAGCAAAAUAACUCAGACUAAGAUACUGAAAUGUCUUCUGAGUUGAUUUUAGUAUGAGUCUAUCAUGGACAGGGAUUAGGUAGCCAAAUGUGAACCCUGAUAUCAAAAUACAUAUACCUGUGCUUUAAACCAAUAUUCACAGUUCUACUGAAUGAGUGGCCAGAACAGCGUAAACCUAUAAACCUCCAAUAGCUGAGGUCAAAUGAAUCCAGUAGUGUACAUAUACUCUCAUAAAUGCCCUUGGCAUUCCCUUCUGCUUGUUUGUAGCCUUGCUUGUCCUCUUAAGUCUUCCUUGAGGUUCGGUUCCUCUGCCAACUUUCAGGUCCUUCAAACAAGUUCUUUUGGCAGCUGUAAAUGCUCUUAUCAGGAACUACAUUUGAAAUUUAUCCAACUCUCAGACAGUUGUAAAAUCUUGCAAAUUGAAAAUCCUUGGAUCUCCUGGGAUAUCGCUGUUUAAGAUCAUGUUUAAUCUCCUUGUAAUAUCCUCUCAGCAGUUUGAUCCUGAUCUUAGGGUGAUGUAAAUUCAAAGUAACUCUCCUGAAGUUAAUGCAAAACCUAAGUUAGCCAAUGAUGUUAUUUUGGAUUUAUGGCAUGAGAACAGAAUCUGGCAUAGCAUCUUUAUGUUUUAGCUCAUUGAAAUAGCAAGUGUAAAAAUUUCUUAAUCAUGUACUCUUCCUUAUCCUACUAUCUGAAAGGUUUGUUUGCUUUAUUUGAGCUUGAUCUGAAGACUAAUAGCAUUAAUAAUUAAUCAAUUAAGUUCACUGGCUUCUUUACCUCAUCUGUUUGUCUAUUUGUUUUGCAAUUCUCCUAUACGGUCUUUGUUAACUUUUCAACAAAACAGAUACUGAAAUGUUACAGGAAGAGUAUUAGUUUAAUUUCUUGAAUCACUGCAAUAAAAGAAAAAAAAAAUCUUCCUUUUCACUGCAUGAUAAGGAACUUCAAAUGUUUGGGCAUAUUUUUUUAUAUUGGUUUCAUUGGACUUUUGUAGCCAUCAUUACUAUCAGUAUUAAUAUUAUAAUUAAAAGGCUAAAAAGUCCAUGGAUCCAGUCUUUUCCUAAACACGUGAGCAUGUGUAACUCUUGGGGACCCAAGGGUGUUUAUUUAUCAAUACUAUUCUUAAAUUCUUGAUUUCUGGUAUUCUUCAAUAGAAAUUUUCAAAUCCUAUAAUCUACCACGAGCAGUGCAAUGAGAUUGAAACUUUGAAACCAACUCUAUUAUCAAACUGAAGAAGAAAAUACCUGGGCCUAUAAUAGAGCACCUUCUACGUAUGGCACCAUAACAAUCAUAGAAUCAUAGAAUGGUUUGGGUUGGAAGGGUACCUCAAAGAUCAUCCAGUUCCAACCCUCUGCCAUGGGCAAGGACAUCCCACUGGAUCAGGGGCUCCAAACCCCAUCCAACCUGGUCUUGAACACCUCCAGGGAUGGGGCAGCCACCACUUCCCUGGGUAACCUGUUCCAGGGCCUCACCGCUCUCCUGGUGAAGAAAUUCCUCCCUAUGUCUAGUCUAAAUCUGCCCCUCUCCAGUUUAUACCCAUUGCCCCUCGUCUUAUCCCCACAAGCCUUUAUGAACAGUCCCUCACCAGCUUUCUUGUAGCCCCUUCAGGUACUGGAAGGUCGCUCUAAGGUCUCCUUGGAGCCUUCUCUUCUCCAGGCUGAACAACCCCAAUUCUCUUAGCCUGUCCUCAUACAGGAGGUGCUCCAGCCCUCGGAUCAUCUUUGUAGCCUCCUCUGGACCCGUUCCAACAGCUCCAUCUCCUUCUUAUGUUGAGGAUUCCAGAACUGGACACAAUACUCCAGGUGAGGUCUCACUAGAGAGCAAUAGAGGGGCAGAAUCCCCUCCCACGUCCUGUUGGCCAUGCUGCUUUGGGUGCAGCCCAGGACACGGUUGACAUUCUGGUUGGUGAGCCUAGAAGUUAAGUUGUAAGAGGCAGAUCCGUGACUUUAUUUGCAGAAGUCUAGGGGAGACUCCAUUGAAAGAAUUGCAUUUUAAAGUCUGAGGAAUCUCUUAACUGCCUCAUUUUAGCACCUUGAAGGUAUGCUCUUGACAAUUUAGACCAGUAUCUUGGUCCACUCAGAACAGAUCUCAUUGCCUGUUGUAGAAUACAGAGCAGGCAGCGAUGGAAGAGGAUAUCCACUUCUCUAUGAAAUGCUGCAGAAGGCACCCCUUUCCAAGAACAUGCUUAGAAAAGCUAAGGAGUCAGAGUAAUGAAUGCAUCCCUAAAAGCAGAAAGCAACUACAGAGAACCUCCUAGGGGUUAGUAUGUAGGAGAGGGUUACAGGUACUGCUUUCCAUGGAAAUGAGUUCAUCUAGAUGCUAAACAGUUUAGUGAGGGCUCCUUGCACUUUCCUAGACUGCAGCAGUGGAAAAUGGAGAAAGAUGAGGCUCUCUCCGAGCAGGUCUUAUGGAAAUGAAAGCAUUUUCCAUGGAUUAAGUGCUCUGCAGAUCCAGAACAUAUGUAAUUUUCUCCAAUACUCCUAGGAAAGAGCAAUUCAGAUGUGUUAAAUUGUAUGAAAUGCUUAUGUGAAGCAUUUCUUUGUGUUGUAUAACCUGAAAAUAGGCUGAAGAGGCCUAGUCCUUGUGGAAAUUCACAUUAGUUUCUUUUUUAAAUAUGUAGUUUUUCUUCCUUUGUUGGUUAAAUUAAUGGGGAUGGUGUGUUGGAUUUUCAGAAGGAAUAUGUUUUUCUUCUAGUUGUGUUUGACAGUGUGGCAGCAUAGUUUGAGCAUGUUUUCCACUAUUUUUUAGCACCCACAAUAUUUCACUUGGAAAAAAAAACUGACAUUGUUUGAUGCUUUAAGCAUCUGUGUUAAUCUACCUUCUGAUUUUGAAAAAUGGAAGGGUAACAGUAACACAUCUCGGCUAUUGAAUCAACAGAAGAUUUGUGGGUCUUUUUUUUUCCUUAAAAGCUGAAAACCAGUACCAAAUAUACAGAACAAAUAACCAAAAGCAUCAAAUGACCGAGGAAUAGGAAUGCGUUAUACAAAGCUGCAUUUCUCAGUGGUGUCAUGAAGUACGGUGACAACAGAAAUUUUAUGUUUUAAAAAGGGAAACAUCAGAAAUUAAACUGGCAUCUAAGCUGUAAGUCACAUAAGAAACGUUUAGAUUUGUGUACAUGAUUGUUGCUGUGGUGUUAUUCCUAAGACAGUGGUAGUAUAUUUGUAGUGGCUGCUUGACUGCAUAGACUCACAGUGGAUCUGUGUGAUAAGCUGAGCCGCGAAGCUGAAGACUGACCCACCAACACAUGCUUUCUUAUGAACACUUACUGCUUGGUCAAAGGGUCAAAGGAGCUCAUUCAGCCUUUUCCCAUGGUUGGAUGGUGCAACGCAGCAGACCUAAAGCUCUCAGAAGUCAGUGCAAAGCCUUCCCCAACUUCUGUAGCCAUUGGACAUGUUCAGUUGGAAUCUCCCAUCUCAUGAUCCUUCAGACAUAGAACCCCAAUGUUUGUAGUGAUUUCUAAUAGGCACCUAAAGAGAUCAUUUUUUUCAUGGAAGCUUGUUAGAUUAACUAUCUAGACACGAAUUCAAAAUAAAUAUAUAUCUGAACUUCCUGAAGUAAAGCCUAUCUUUUUCAGGCAUGCCUCACAUCACCUCUCUGAGUGUGAUUUAUAACCAUUGACUUGCUUGUAUGUGGAACUAAAAUGCUAUGUAAUAUUGGUUUCAUGUUAUUGGAAAAUACAGAAAAGGUAUCACCAGACUCUUUAAAUAAUUAUCUGGAAUAAAACAAAAUGAUACUUUACUAUACACGGGUUUUAUAAAAAAUAACCUUUUACUUACUGAUCAAUGAAAUUUUAAAUCGCGUGGCAGAUUUAUAGUAAAGCAGUGCCAUCUCAUUUUUUCUUAAAAGUUUAAUAGCAAGAUUGUUUUCAUGUUGUGUGAUUGAUUGUGUGAAUCAUCUAAUGUUUUCUGUUAUGACAAACUCAUUUGACAAACUCUAAGCCUGUUAUAUUUUUAUCUUCUGAUAAAAGCAAUAUUAAAGACUUAUAAUCCUACAGACUUUAAAUAGUCAGGCAAACCUAUAUUUCUUUUUAUAACUUCUUUUUUACUCCAGCUCAUUAGAGAAAAGUCAUUUCGUUAUUUUUUCAGUAGCAGAUAGAUUAACAGAUUAACAUCUGUUAAUGCAGUCAUGGCUUAUUUCUUGGUUCGGUGUUAUGUACGACUUAAAGCAGAAUUUAUGGCUAAAGGUUUAUAAUUUUGUCAUUAUUUUGCUAGUGUAUGUACAGCAGCUCAAUUUAUAAUUGUUUACUGAACUCUUGCAGUCGUGAUGCUGAUUGAUCUCCUGGAUCCGUGCAACAUGUUUAUUCAUACACUGAUGUAGUAAUCCCUUUAAUUAUGGCCCUUGUAUUGAUAGAUAAGUAGCCACCAACUCAUAGUACCUGGAAUAGCAUGGGGACAUACACAAAAAUCACAAAUAACAGUCUGAAAUACUUGAGGCGCAUGCUGGGCGAGAUUGACUAUCUCAAGCUGCGGGCAUUAAAUGAAGAAAGAUCUUUGUGCUAGAUGAGCAUGGCUGCCUGGUGUUCAUCAGUACAGAAGGGUUAGCAGCUGAGAUUAUGGGAACAUCUUUCUCCUUUAAAUCUUCUUGGGCACAGUUUGGGCUAUUUGCAAACUGCUAUUAGACAUACCCAAUAUACACAUUAAGAGUAUUCGGAGCAGAGCAGAAGUACUUGCUAUCAAAUCAAAUGUGUAGUCUUUAAAGAAAGCACAGGAAAAUGGGAAAAAAAAGUAAAAUUGUAAAGACAGUGUAUUUUUUCCUUAGAUUUUGAAAGAGGCAUAAUUAUUAACCGUACAUCCCGCAUAAAAUAGAUGGCACUCAGAAAUGGAAUUAAGAGACGGAAUUAUUACUAGUUAUUCAGCUAUGCUAUAUCUCACUGUCAAAUGGUGUGUGUACAAGCUGUGCAUGCUCUUUAGUAAGAUGCAGUGAUUUGUUUCAAACUUGUUUUCUAAUAAAAUAAAUUCUAUAAGCUAUAAGUUGAAUACAUUAGAAGAAUAGAUUUGGAGGCCUCAUCCUAUUUGACAGCCUAUGCAGACUGUGCCAUACACAUAGAUGUGUGUGUAUGCAAAUCUCUAUAUAAAUGCAUGUAUUUCUUUUAACGCACAGUGUCAGAAAUAAAUGACUCUCGAGUUCCUAACUAAAUAAUACCUUAUCUCAAUGAGAAAUUUAAUUUUCUGAUCUGUAUUUUCAAAAACCCAUUAGCGAAAG